AUGUCCCUUGAUACUGACAAACAGAAAGAGCCAACAAAAGACGUAGAGAAAGAUAGCAGAGAACAACCAAAGCCAAUGGAACAAAAAGCUACUCAAGAGGUUGUGACGGAGCCAAAGGAAAAGUCAAAUGCUCCUGAUUUGCCACCACUUAAAGAUCUCAAGCCAAAAGAAAAGGCCACAGAGAAAAUCUCUCCAAAAUCCGAAGACAAAAAGGUGACGGAAGAGAUGACGACUGCAGCCAAGCCUCAAAAUACUACUGCUGCAAAAUCAGCAGAGAAAAAUAUGGAAACCAGUGAAGUGAAAUCCGUAGAGGCUAAUGCGUCCACUGUUGACCCACAGCCAGCAUCUCAAAAAGCUGUGGCAGAACAGGAGAUGGCUUCGAAAGAGGAGAGCAAAGCUGAAUCAAAGGACACAGUAGAAACUUCGAAAGCUAAAGUUGACGAUUCUCAAAAAGCACAAAGUACAAAGGAUAAGGAUAUGGAGGAUGUACAAAAGGAUCUAGACGCAACCGAACAGCCUGAGGGAGUAAAGAAAGAAACGGUGCCAAAAGAUAAAGAAAAGGAAACAAAAUCUGAUCAGCUUUCAGAGAAAAAAGUAGAUAGCAAACCAGCUGGUGUUACAGAGACUGUGAAAGAAAAGGCAGAAAGUGCCAAGUCAAACGAGGGACAAAAAACACAGGGUGAUGUUUCCAAAUUUGCUGCAAAUGAAACAGAAGUUGAGAUAUCUGAGAAAAAGGAGAGCAGCACAAAGGACAUGACAGGCAAGGCAAAUACAGACAAAGAGGAUAAUGCCAAGUCAAAGAAAGAAGAAAAAGCGCUCAGUCAAAUGCAGUCAGAAGACAAGCAGCCAAAAGUCGCAACAGCAGAGACGAAAUCUGAGGGGCAAUCUCUGAAAAAUGCAAAUGCCGCUAAAGAAAAUGUGGCAGACACUUUUAAAACAGAGCAAAGUGAAACAACCAGAUCCACUGAAAAAAAGUUAGAGGUCAUUCAGAAAGAUGAACCUUCAAAACCUGCAGAAAGGGAAACAAAACCUGAAGAAAAACAUGAGAAAAACGAAACCAAAGGGAACAAAGUGGAGAGUUCCGAGGACAUUAAAAAGGUGGACAUCGUCAAGCCUACAGGUCAAGAAACCUCCAAAGAUGUACAACCCGAACAAAGCGUUUCAGAGACAUCAGUGGAAAAAGAACAAAAGGACCAGACAAAAAUGGAUAAAGACAUGCCAGAAGCCAAGGACUCAAAAACUGAGAAAUCAGACAAGACAGGGAGCAGUGCAACACAGGAAGACAUCCCAAAAGUGGACAGCACUAAAAUUACAGCUCCUGAAAAAGACACCGCUCCUCCAAAACCUGAUCAAAGAAUAGAGCCGGCUCUAAAAAUGUCAUCAAAGAAAGAGCAAGACAAAGAACAGAAAUCUGCUAUCACUGAUGUGAAGGAAGACGCAGAGCAGAAAAAACAAGUGCCAAAAGCAGCUGAGAAUGGAGUAUCUAUGUAA
ensembl:lncRNA